rnacentral:rRNA from 1 species
CAUUAUUGAAAUAAACUUGAUAAGUUGCUGCUGGUUCUCUAGGGAACAAUGUGCACACUUGUCAUCUUUGUAUCUUCACCUGUGCACCUUUUGUAGACCUGAUUAUCUCUCUGAAUGCUUUAUAGCACUCAGGAUUGAGGAUUGACUUCUUGUCUCUUCUUACAUUUUCAGGUCUAUGUUUCUUCAUAUACCCCAAUGUAUGUUUAUAGAAUGUAAUUAAUGGGCCUUUGUGCCUAUAAACCUUUACAACUUUCAGCAACGGAUCUCUUGGCUCUCGCAUCGAUGAAGAACGCAGCGAAAUGCGAUAAGUAAUGUGAAUUGCAGAAUUCAGUGAAUCAUCGAAUCUUUGAACGCACCUUGCGCUCCUUGGUAUUCCGAGGAGCAUGCCUGUUUGAGUGUCAUUAAUAUUAUCAACCUUUUGGGUUGGAUUUGGGUUUGCUGGCCUCUAUCAGGUCAGCUCCCCUUAAAUGCAUUAGCAGACAACAUUUUGCCAAAUGUUCAUUGGUGUGAUAAUUAUCUACGCUAUUGACAUGAAGCAAAGGUUCAGCUUCUAACUGUCCAUUGACUUGGACAACUUUAUUAAUGUGACCUCAAAUCAGGUAGGACUACCCGCUGAACUUAAGCAUAUCAAUA